rnacentral:rRNA from 1 species
UACGAGUGGUCCAAGCGUUAUCCGGAAUUAUUGGGCGUAAAGGAUGUGUAGGUGGUUGUAUUAGUCCGACGUCUAACCUCUGUGCUUCACAUGGAGACUGCGUUGGAAACGGUACGACUAGAGUAUGUUAGGGGUAAGCGGAACUAAUAGUGUAGGGGUGAAAUCCGUUGAUAUUAGGAGGAACACCAGUGGCGAAGGCGGCUUUCUGGACAGUAACUGACGCUGAGGCGCGAAAGCGUGGGGAGCAAACAGGAUUAGAUACCCGGGUAGU